rnacentral:rRNA from 1 species
AGAGUUUGAUCCUGGCUCAGAACGAACGCUGGCGGCGUGCCUAACACAUGCAAGUCGAACGAGAAAGUUUCCUUCGGGGAACUGGUAAAGUGGCGCAAGGGUGAGUAACACGUGAAUAAUCUGCCUACGAAUUCGGGAUAACCCGACGAAAGUUGUGCUAAUACCGGAUAAGACCACACUCCUUAUGGAGCGUGGCCAAAGGAGCCUCAAGCUCCGUUUGUAGAUGAGUUCGCGGACCAUUAGCUUGUUGGCGGGAUAACAGCCCACCAAGGCGACGAUGGUUAGCCGGCCUGAGAGGGUGAUCGGCCACACUGGAACUGAGACACGGUCCAGACUCCUACGGGAGGCAGCAGUGGGGAAUAUUGCGCAAUGGGCGGAAGCCUGACGCAGCAACGCCGUGUGAGGGAUGAAGGCUUUUGAGUCGUAAACCUCUGUCAGAUGGGAAGAAUUAUGACGGUACCAUCAGAGGAAGCCCCGGCUAACUCCGUGCCAGCAGCCGCGGUAAUACGGAGGGGGCAAGCGUUGUUCGGAAUUAUUGGGCGUAAAGAGUAUGUAGGCGGCUGGGUAAGUCAGGCGUGCAAGCCCACGGCUCAACCGUGGAAUUGCGUCUGAAACUAUUCGGCUUGAGUGCAGGAGA